GUGUGGGGAGGCUGCAGCGUUGCAGCCGGCUGCUUUAGCCGUCCAGCUGGUGGGAGUGACCCCUCCCUGUCCCGUCAGAGGGUGCAGGUUGAGGUGCUGUUUGUGUGUGGGGUGACCUCCCCGCUCGGUGGGUCGAGGUAGCUCCCUGGGCUUCCAAAGACGAGGCGUUGGUGAUGUUCUGCUGCUGCCGGGCGGGCCAGCCUGUAACUCAGGCGUUGGCGGGAGCCUCGUGCUCCGCGGGGCUUCUUGAAGAGGGUGAGGUGUGGGGGUACCGUCCUGUAGGCAGGGCUGUGUGUGCCCCCCGUGUGUGCUUGGUGAGCUGCGUUCUGAGAGACCCCCUGUACUCAGGUGGGAAUGUGGCCCCGGCCUUUCAGAGGCGCGGGGCCGUGAGAUGCGGGGUGGGGCUUGCGCCCUCCCUGGAAUCGGGGCUGGGAUCCCGACUGCGGCCUUUGGCCGUGCCGCCCCGCUGCCUGGCUGCUGAGAGUUUCUCCUGCCGCUGGGGGGGAAACCGAGCUCUGUGGCUCCAGGGGUGUUGUCCACCCGCCUGUAAUCAGGGUCUGGGUGCGCGAGCGUUUGUGCUCUGCUGGCAGCCUGUGUGGGGUGACCGCCCCGCUAGCGGGGUGUGGGUCGAGGUGCCCCGGACUGGGAGAGAAGGAGCCUCCCUCGGCCGUAGGGAUGGGGGCCGCCCUGUAAGUCAGGGAGCAUCUGUGUCCCGGAGUCCCAGGCCCUUUUCAAUGGCGGCAGUGGCCGGGGUCCCCUGUAAGCAGGGAAGCUGACUCUUUGGCUGCUGCUUUUUGUGUGCCCAGCCCCAUUUGCCCGGUCUGCCCGCCUCUGUGAUCCCCCGCAGCACUGGCUGGAAGUCCGCCGCGUGUCAGUGAGGAGCUACUGCAGAAGGAAGAAGAAGAAGCGGCGUGGGGAGCUGGGAGGCAGGAGCAAGCAAGAAGAGGAAGCGGAAGCGUGCAGAUGCGGGGGGGAAGGAGAGAGGCUCCCUGGGCAAAGCACCUGUCCCGUUAGCAGGGGCACAGUCACGUUUGAGUUGAGAGCUGCCGGCGCCUUUGGUGACCAGGCUGGCGUUGUGCUGGGCGACCUCCCCGUAAGCGGGGCUCGGGUCUUUGCUGUAGUUGGCCUUUUGCCUUGCUGCUCCUUUGGCUGCCUGGGGAGCGUGGCCCCCUGUAACGGAGGGCGAGAGCCACCUCUCCGCACCUGAGUGGGAAAUGGAGCUCGCCGGACCCCGAGGCCACCCUGUAAGCAGGGUAGUGCCGUUUCCCUGCCCCUCUUCCUCCCCCGGCCCCUCGGCAUCGUUGCCUGAUGGUGGCUUGUCAACGCGACGGCCCCGUACUCGGGGUGUGUGUCCCAAGCUUUGGAGCCCUCUGUCCCUGAGCAGCCCGCCCGCCCUGUAACCAGGUGUGGGGAGGCUGCAGCGUUGCAGCCGGCUGCUUUAGCCGUCCAGCUGGUGGGAGUGACCCCUCCCUGUCCCGUCAGAGGGUGCAGGUUGAGGUGCUGUUUGUGUGUGGGGUGACCUCCCCGCUCGGUGGGUCGAGGUAGCUCCCUGGGCUUCCAAAGACGAGACGUUGGUGAUGUUCUGCUGCUGCCGGGCGGGCCAGCCUGUAACUCAGGCAUUGGCGGGAGCCUCGUGCUCCGCGGGGCUUCUUGAAGAGGGUGAGGUGUGGGGGUACCGUCCUGUAGGCAGGGCUGUGUGUGCCCCCCGUGUGUGCUUGGUGAGCUGCGUUCUGAGAGACCCCCUGUACUCAGGUGGGAAUGUGGCCCCGGCCUUUCAGAGGCGCAGGGCCGUGAGAUGCGGGGUGGGGCUUGCGCCCUCCCUGGAAUCGGGGCUGGGAUCCCGACUGCGGCCUUUGGCCGUGCCGCCCCGCUGCCUGGCUGCUGAGAGUUGCUCCUGCCGCUGGGGGGGAAACCGAGCUCUGUGGCUCCAGGGGUGUUGUCCACCCGCCUGUAAUCAGGGUCUGGGUGCGUGAGCGUUUGUGCUCUGCUGGCAGCCUGUGUGGGGUGACCGCCCCGCUAGCGGGGUGUGGGUCGAGGUGCCCCGGACUGGGAGAGAAGGAGCCUCCCUCGGCCGUAGGGAUGGGGGCUGCCCUGUAAGUCAGGGAGCAUCUGUGUCCCGGAGUCCCAGGCCCUUUUCAAUGGCGGCAGUGGCCGGGGGUCCCCUGUAAGCAGGGAAGCUGACUCUUUGGCUGCUGCUUUUUGUGUGCCCAGCCCCAUUUGCCCGGUCUGCCCGCCUCUGUGAUCCCCCGCAGCACUGGCUGGAAGUCCGCCGCGUGUCAGUGAGGAGCUGCUGCAGAAGGAAGAAGAAGAAGCGGCGUGGGGAGCUGGGAGGCAGGAGCAAGCAAGAAGAGGAAGCGGAAGCGUGCAGAUGCGGGGGGGAAGGAGAGAGGCUCCCUGGGCAAAGCACCUGUCCCGUUAGCGGGGGCACAGUCACGUUUGAGUUGAGAGCUGCCGGCGCCUUUGGUGACCAGGCUGGCGUUGUGCUGGGCGACCUCCCCGUAAGCGGGGCUCGGGUCUUUGCUGUAGUUGGCCUUUUGCCUUGCUGCUCCUUUGGCUGCCUGGGGAGCGUGGCCCCCUGUAACGGAGGGCGAGAGCCACCUCUCCGCACCUGAGUGGGAAAUGGAGCUCGCCGGACCCCGAGGCCACCCUGUAAGCAGGGUAGUGCCGUUUCCCUGCCCCUCUUCCUCCCCCGGCCCCUCGGCAUCGUUGCCUGAUGGUGGCUUGUCAACGCGACGGCCCCGUACUCGGGGUGUGCGUCACGGCAUUUGGCCGCUGGCUUUACCUGAGGAGCCCCUUGGCACGUUGAGGUCUGUGGCCUCCGUGCAGCCUAGGGACGGGUCACAGGCUCUUGUCUGUUGCCCGUGGUUGUGGGUUUAUUCCCAGGUGUUGGCUGUGCUGCGUUGUCCUUCCCUUCUGGAAAGUCGUGCCUGUGUGUGCGUGUUCCCCUUCCUUUCCUUGUUUGUGUUUGUGGAGUGGUUGAGCGGGUGUGCUUUCCCUUUAGGCCUCCACAAAGAUGGCUGCAGCUUAGCUUUGACUUCCCAGGGGGGAAUGGAGGACUUUGGUGCAUGCCGCAAAAGGGGUGUUCCCUCUUAGUCCUGCGAGCGCAGCGAGUGUCCUGUCUUCCUACUAUUUUCCUUAGUGCAGAUCAGAGCCACACGGUAGUUCUGUGGCCAAGGCCUCCCUGUAGCCAGGGCUUGGGCCUGUCCUUGCGUGGCCGCCUGUCCUGCUGGCGGCGGUGACAGCCCCGUACUCGGGGUGUGUGUCCCAAGCUUUGGAGCCCUCUGUCCCUGAGCAGCCCGCCCGCCCUGUAAUCAGGUGUGGGGAGGCUGCAGCGUUGCAGCCGGCUGCUUUAGCCGUCCAGCUGGUGGGAGUGACCCCUCCCUGUCCCGUCAGAGGGUGCAGGUUGAGGUGCUGUUUGUGUGUGGGGUGACCUCCCCGCUCGGUGGGUCGAGGUAGCUCCCUGGGCUUCCAAAGACGAGGCGUUGGUGAUGUUCUGCUGCUGCCAGGCGGGCCAGCCUGUAACUCAGGCGUUGGCGGGAGCCUCGUGCUCCGCGGGGCUUCUUGAAGAGGGUGAGGUGUGGGGGUACCGUCCUGUAGGCAGGGCUGUGUGUGCCCCCCGUGUGUGCUUGGUGAGCUGCGUUCUGAGAGACCCCCUGUACUCAGGUGGGAAUGUGGCCCCGGCCUUUCAGAGGCGCGGGGCCGUGAGAUGCGGGGUGGGGCUUGCGCCCUCCCUGGAAUCGGGGCUGGGAUCCCGACUGCGGCCUUUGGCCGUGCCGCCCCGCUGCCUGGCUGCUGAGAGUUGCUCCUGCCGCUGGGGGGGAAACCGAGCUCUGUGGCUCCAGGGGUGUUGUCCACCCGCCUGUAAUCAGGGUCUGGGUGCGCGAGCGUUUGUGCUCUGCUGGCAGCCUGUGUGGGGUGACCGCCCCGCUAGCGGGGUGUGGGUCGAGGUGCCCCGGACUGGGAGAGAAGGAGCCUCCCUCGGCCGUAGGGAUGGGGGCUGCCCUGUAAGUCAGGGAGCAUCUGUGUCCCGGAGUCCCAGGCCCUUUUCAAUGGCGGCAGUGGCCGGGGGUCCCCUGUAAGCAGGGAAGCUGACUCUUUGGCUGCUGCUUUUUGUGUGCCCAGCCCCAUUUGCCCAGUCUGCCCGCCUCUGUGAUCCCCCGCAGCACUGGCUGGAAGUCCGCCGCGCAUCAGUGAGCUGAGAAAAGCUGCUCGAAGAGCUGCUUCAGAAGAAAGAAGAAGCGGCGUGGGGACCUGGGCUGCAAAAUCAAGAUGGGGCAUCUGUUGACUGUUUUUCUUGUAUUUCUUUGCCUUUUGGAGCCACAGUUUUGAACGGUUGUGUAAGACUUUAUCACUCUUUUUGUCAGCGUCGUCAGCUGUGAAUAAAGUUUUUUUUCCAUGUUGUUUUUCCUGUUAUA
rnacentral:lncRNA from 1 species